rnacentral:lncRNA from 10 species
GGUGCACACUUAGUAAAUGGGAGAGUAGGGAUUUAACCUUUAGUCUAACUCUAGAACCUAUUAUUCUAACUUACUGGCAUGCUGCCUACCACUUAGGAGUGUUGGUAUUCUUUCUAAGCUGUAUUCCAUAGGCUGUCUAUAUCAACAUAUACUAUUCUUUACAAUUCAUAUUGAGAACCUUCUGGAUUCAAGCUUGACAGGUUAUUUUAAUGGUACCUGAGAUUCGUUUUAAUCAGGUGUGGUAAGGCACAGAAACAUGAAAAUGAUUGUUAUGAAGGAAGAAGUUUUAAUUAUGCUCACAGGCCUCUAGAAACAGACAUGUCACACAGAGCCAAACAGGGAAGCACCAAGGCAAAAUCAGUACGCAAAGAGGAAAGGGAGCGACAGAGA